UGAGUUUUGUGAAGGAGUGUUAGACUGCGGACGUAACAAGAAGAGGUAAUAUGAAGUGGUCAAUAUUGGUAUUAUUCGCCCUGGCAGCGAUCUGCUUCGCCGACAAUGUAGCUCCGUCUGUCACCUUUGCCGUCCCAGCAGCUCAUGUCUCAGCACCUGCUCGGCUCACAACGUGUAGCAAGCCCGAGGAAUGCUCGACGGCGUGCGAGACGCAGUGCCCCACAGCUAACGUCGCCAACUGCGUCAACGGCCAAUGCAACUGUGGCAUAUGACAUUUACCAUAAA